UUGCCUCAGUAACGGCGAGUGAAGCGGCAUAAGCUCAAAUUUGAAAUCUGGCUCUUUCAGGGUCCGAGUUGUAAUUUGUAGAAGAUGUUUCGGGUGUGGCACCGGUCUAAGUUCCUUGGAACAGGACGUCAUAAGAGGGUGAGAAUCCCGUAACGUGACCUGGCUGCCUACGCCCAAUGUGAAACUCUUUCGACGAGUCGAGUUGUUUGGGAAAUGCAGCUCAAAAUGGGUGGGUAUAUUUUCAUCUAAAGCUAAAUAUUGGGCCAGAGACCGAUAGCGCACAAGUAGAGUGAUCGAAAGAUGAAAAGCACUUUGGAAAGAGAGUUAAACAGUACGUGAAAUUGUUGAAAGGGAAGCGCUUGCAAUCAGACUUGCGCCUAGUUGAUCAUCCAAGCUUUUGGUUGGUGCACUCGACUAGGCUCAGGCCAGCAUCGGUUUGGGCGGUUGGAUAAAGACUUGGGGAACGUAGCCUCCUUCGGGUGGUGUUAUAGCCCCAGGUGCAAUGCAGCCUGCCUGGACCGAGGACCGCGCUUCGGCUAGGAUGCUGGCGUAAUGGUUGUAAGCGACCCGUCUUGAAACACGGACCAAGGAGUCGACCUAUUUAGCGAGUGUUUGGGUGUUAAACCCAUACGCGUAAUGAAAGUGAACGGAGGUGAGAACCCGUUAGGGCGCAUCAUCGACCGAUCCUGAUGUCUUCGGAUGGAUUUGAGUAAGAGCUAAGUGGGUCGGACCCGAAAGAUGGUGAUCUAUACGUGAAUAGGGUGAAGCCAGAGGAAACUCUGGUGGAGGCUCGCAGCGGUUCUGACGUGCAAAUCGAUCGUCAAAUUUGCGUAUAGGGGGCGAAAGACUAAUCGAACCAUUAAACCUUACUAGGUGGUUGAGAGAGGAUCGUUUGAGAGAUCCUUUAGUUCCCACUCGGGGCAACAUCGUCAAAUUGUUUCGGGGACCACCUGUGAAAUUUGCAAAGCUACCCGCAGCCCAGCUCGAAAGGGGUUGGUGAGCACCUGAGAUAGCGACUUAGGGUAUGGUAAUAAACGCUUGCAUGGGGUGUAUCCGCAGCGAAUCCCUAAGCCUUUUUAGGUAUGGGUGUCGUUCACAGACUAGACGGCGGUGGACGUGGUAUCGGAAGGUAUAGGCUUAAUAACCCUAUAUUCUUACAUGUCACGCUUAAGAUAUAGUCGAACCCCCCAGAGAUGGGG
rnacentral:ncRNA from 1 species